GAGUAUGUGAUAUUUCGGAAAGAAUCUAGUUCCUUCGAUAUCAAUGUUGAAUAUAUCAAUAUUGAUAUCGAAGGAACUAGAUUCUGUUCCGAAAUAUCACAUACUCGA